GGCAGACGGCGUCCAUUCUAUAUACAGUCUAUGGUAGAGACGCUCUGUAAAAUGUUGAAUAAAAACAAGUUUUGAUGGUUUUCAACUUAGAGGUUAAUUUGAAACAGGUCAGUAAGGCCGAGUCCUUCAUUUGCUGAAGAAAACACUGAGACAAAUACAAAACUGUGUUAAAAACAGACAUGACUCUGCAGUGGAAGUCACCGCAUGAGCUCAACAUCACUAAAAAAAAAAAAAAAAAAUUUGUCAAUGCAAGAACAAAAGUGCUUCAAACUGAAUGAUUUUAACGUUUAAAGUUUUCUUUGCUAAAUUUUCACCUAAUUAUAGUGUUUAAAUUGUUUUCAAACCAUCAAAUCCUGUUUUUAUCAACCUUUUAUGCCACGUCUGAACUUUAUGGAGUUGGGGUUGUAUUGUUUUUGUCGCCAAAAGCUGUGAAACCAACUGAAGUGCUCUUAUUCUUCUUUAACUGUCAUACAAAAUGUCAGGAUGUGCUUUUCGUUCUUGUACUGCCCCUUUCAUAUAAAGUAAUUCACUUAAACAUUUGGA